CCCCCCCUGCAAUGUGCGUGAUUGUAUGACAGACUUUGUCCUAACGCAUAGAAAAAAGGGCGUUCACACUGAUGCUGGUGAGCAGGUUCCAACGGUUAUGGAAAAGCCUAAAGGCAUUAUUGAACACCCACCUUUUGGACCUUUGGUUCAAAGCCUUAAAAGCAACACGGCAGUUUGUGGGGGGAAU
rnacentral:other from 1 species